AGCGUAACCCGUGAGGCGAGCUGA
rnacentral:siRNA from 1 species